UACGUAGGGUGCAAGCGUUGUCCGGAAUUAUUGGGCGUAAAGAGCUCGUAGGCGGUUUGUCGCGUCGGCUGUGAAAGCCCGGAGCUCAACUCCGGGUCUGCAGUCGAUACGGGCAGACUUGAGUGCUGUAGGGGAGACUGGAAUUCCUGGUGUAGCGGUGAAAUGCGCAGAUAAUCAGGAGGAACACCUGUGGCGAAAGCGGCUCACUGGACCAUAACUGACGCUGGAUGCACGAAAGCUGGGGAGCAAACAGGGA
rnacentral:rRNA from 1 species